rnacentral:misc_RNA from 1 species
GAAAUGCGAUAAGUAAUGUGAAUUGCAGAAUUCAGUGAAUCAUCGAAUCUUUGAACGCACAUUGCGCCCGCCAGUAUUCUGGCGGGCAUGCCUGUUCGAGCGUCAUUUCAACCAUCAAGCCCCCGGCUUGUGUUGGGGACCUGCGGCUGCCCGCAGGCCCUGAAAAACAGUGGCGGGCUCGCUGUCACACCGAGCGUAGUAGCAUACAUUCUCGCUCAGGGCGUGCUGUGGGUUCCGGCCGUUAAACGACCUUCAUAACCCAAGGUUGACCUCGGAUCAGGUAGGAAGACCCGCUGAACUUAAGC